GCAGAGUAGGUAUAUGUGCGUUAAGUGCCGGCUGGACAGGGAGUUGUCAGCUGGACGAAAGAGGAUUCCCAAAGGGAAACUGUCUGCGGUACAUAUGCCGCAUCCCGCUGC
rnacentral:ncRNA from 21 species